CGGAUGAAAUAAAUGUCUAAAAGAAUGUCAUGCUGGUAUUCAUCACAGGUGAGAGGUUAGGACAUUUGAGAUGGUAUAAAAUGGUGCGUGAGAACAACGGGGGAGUCGAAAAGAUAGUGACCAGUAGAGAGGCCAGAACACAAGGAUCCGGAAAAAACCUGUCGAGGAAAGAACUUUUGGUAUCUCCACCAUUGUUUACUUCUCCCACCACCCUCGUCCCAGUACUACUACACUGGUUACUCAACUUCCGGCCCAAGAAAUUUCUUCUGGUUGAACAUUAAAGAUCCUGCCUACGUUCUAGUUUCCCAGCCUCCACCCAAGCAAAAAUCGUCGAAAAAAGGGACAACUAGAAGAUCCAGCUACUCUGCCGCGGAACAGUGACAACGAGAACUGAAUUCGUUUGAACUGACUAAUUGGACUUGAAGUUAUACAACAACAGGUUUUUCAUCUCGAUAAU
rnacentral:lncRNA from 1 species